rnacentral:rRNA from 1 species
AUGAACGCUAGCUACAGGCUUAACACAUGCAAGUCGAGGGGCAGCAUGGUCUUAGCUUGCUAAGGCUGAUGGCGACCGGCGCACGGGUGAGUAACACGUAUCCAACCUGCCGUCUACUCUUGGCCAGCCUUCUGAAAGGAAGAUUAAUCCAGGAUGGCAUCAUGAGUUCACAUGUCCGCAUGAUUAAAGGUAUUUUCCGGUAGACGAUGGGGAUGCGUUCCAUUAGAUAGUAGGCGGGGUAACGGCCCACCUAGUCAACGAUGGAUAGGGGUUCUGAGAGGAAGGUCCCCCACAUUGGAACUGAGACACGGUCCAAACUCCUACGGGAGGCAGCAGUGAGGAAUAUUGGUCAAUGGGCGAUGGCCUGAACCAGCCAAGUAGCGUGAAGGAUGACUGCCCUAUGGGUUGUAAACUUCUUUUAUAAAGGAAUAAAGUCGGGUAUGCAUACCCGUUUGCAUGUACUUUAUGAAUAAGGAUCGGCUAACUCCGUGCCAGCAGCCGCGGUAAUACGGAGGAUCCGAGCGUUAUCCGGAUUUAUUGGGUUUAAAGGGAGCGUAGAUGGAUGUUUAAGUCAGUUGUGAAAGUUUGCGGCUCAACCGUAAAAUUGCAGUUGAUACUGGAUGUCUUGAGUGCAGUUGAGGCAGGCGGAAUUCGUGGUGUAGCGGUGAAAUGCUUAGAUAUCACGAAGAACUCCGAUUGCGAAGGCAGCCUGCUAAGCUGCAACUGACAUUGAGGCUCGAAAGUGUGGGUAUCAAACAGGAUUAGAUACCCUGGUAGUCCACACGGUAAACGAUGAAUACUCGCUGUUUGCGAUAUACGGCAAGCGGCCAAGCGAAAGCGUUAAGUAUUCCACCUGGGGAGUACGCCGGCAACGGUGAAACUCAAAGGAAUUGACGGGGGCCCGCACAAGCGGUGGAGCAUGUGGUUUAAUUCGAAGCAACGCGAAGAACCUUACCAGGUCUUGACAUCCCGAUGCUAUUCUUAGAGAUAGGAAGUUACUUCGGUACAUCGGAGACAGGUGGUGCAUGGUUGUCGUCAGCUCGUGUCGUGAGAUGUUGGGUUAAGUCCCGCAACGAGCGCAACCCUUAUUGUUAGUUGCCAUCAUUAAGUUGGGCACUCUAAGUUGACUGCCGGUGACAAACCGGAGGAAGGUGGGGAUGACGUCAAAUCAUCAUGCCCCUUAUGACCAGGGCUACACACGUGCUACAAUGGCGUAACAAAGGGAAGCGAACCCGUGAGGGGGAGCAAAUCCCAAAAAUAACGUCCCAGUUCGGACUGUAGUCUGCAACCCGACUACACGAAGCUGGAAUCGCUAGUAAUCGCAGAUCAGAAUGCUGCGGUGAAUACGUUCCCGGGUCUUGUACACACCGCCCGUCACACCAUGGGAGUUGCGAAUGCCCGAAGCCAGUGACCUAACCGAAAGGAAGGAGCUGUCGAAGGCAGGCUCGAUAACUGGGGUG